rnacentral:rRNA from 1 species
AUGAACGCUAGCUACAGGCUUAACACAUGCAAGUCGAGGGGCAGCAUGGUCUUAGCUUGCUAAGGCCGAUGGCGACCGGCGCACGGGUGAGUAACACGUAUCCAACCUGCCGUCUACUCUUGGACAGCCUUCUGAAAGGAAGAUUAAUACAAGAUGGCAUCAUGAGUCCGCAUGUUCACAUGAUUAAAGGUAUUCCGGUAGACGAUGGGGAUGCGUUCCAUUAGAUAGUAGGCGGGGUAACGGCCCACCUAGUCUUCGAUGGAUAGGGGUUCUGAGAGGAAGGUCCCCCACAUUGGAACUGAGACACGGUCCAAACUCCUACGGGAGGCAGCAGUGAGGAAUAUUGGUCAAUGGGCGAGAGCCUGAACCAGCCAAGUAGCGUGAAGGAUGACUGCCCUAUGGGUUGUAAACUUCUUUUAUAAAGGAAUAAAGUCGGGUAUGGAUACCCGAUUGCAUGUACUUUAUGAAUAAGGAUCGGCUAACUCCGUGCCAGCAGCCGCGGUAAUACGGAGGAUCCGAGCGUUAUCCGGAUUUAUUGGGUUUAAAGGGAGCGUAGAUGGAUGUUUAAGUCAGUUGUGAAAGUUUGCGGCUCAACCGUAAAAUUGCAGUUGAUACUGGCAGUCUUGAGUGCAGUAGAGGUGGGCGGAAUUCGUGGUGUAGCGGUGAAAUGCUUAGAUAUCACGAAGAACUCCGAUUGCGAAGGCAGCCUGCUAAGCUGCAACUGACAUUGAGGCUCGAAAGUGUGGGUAUCAAACAGGAUUAGAUACCCUGGUAGUCCACACGGUAAACGAUGAAUACUCGCUGUUUGCGAUAUACGGCAAGCGGCCAAGCGAAAGCGUUAAGUAUUCCACCUGGGGAGUACGCCGGCAACGGUGAAACUCAAAGGAAUUGACGGGGGCCCGCACAAGCGGAGGAACAUGUGGUUUAAUUCGAUGAUACGCGAGGAACCUUACCCGGGCUUAAAUUGCAGAUGAAUUACGGUGAAAGCCGUAAGCCGCAAGGCAUCUGUGAAGGUGCUGCAUGGUUGUCGUCAGCUCGUGCCGUGAGGUGUCGGGUUAAGUCCCAUAACGAGCGCAACCCCUACCGUUAGUUGCCAUCAGGUGAAGCUGGGCACUCUGGCGGGACUGCCGGUGUAAGCCGAGAGGAAGGUGGGGAUGACGUCAAAUCAGCACGGCCCUUACGUCCGGGGCUACACACGUGUUACAAUGGGGGGUACAGAGGGCCGCUACCACGCGAGUGGAUGCCAAUCCCCAAAACCUCUCUCAGUUCGGACUGGAGUCUGCAACCCGACUCCACGAAGCUGGAUUCGCUAGUAAUCGCGCAUCAGCCACGGCGCGGUGAAUACGUUCCCGGGCCUUGUACACACCGCCCGUCAAGCCAUGGGAGCCGGGGGUACCUGAAGUGCGUAACCGCGAGGAGCGCCCUAGGGUAAAACUGGUGACUGGGGCU